AAACGACUCUCGGCAACGGAUAUCUCGGCUCACGCAUCGAUGAAGAACGUAGCAAAAUGCGAUACUUGGUGUGAAUUGCAGAAUCCCGUGAACCAUCGAGUUUUUGAACGCAAGUUGCGCCCGAAGCCAUUCGGCUGAGGGCACGUCUGCCUGGGCGUCACGC
rnacentral:rRNA from 4 species